rnacentral:rRNA from 1 species
GGGCUACACACGUGCUACAAUGGGCGGUACAGAGGGCUGCAAACUCGCGAGAGCAAGCCAAUCCCUUAAAACCGUUCGUAGUCCGGAUUGGAGUCUGCAACUCGACUCCAUGAAGUCGGAAUCGCUAGUAAUCGCGUAACAGCAUGACGCGGUGAAUACGUUCCCGGGCCUUGUACACACCGCCCGUCACACCAUGGGAAUUGGGUCUACCCGAAGGUGGUGCGCCAACCUAGCAAUAGGGGGCAGCCAACCACGGUAGGCUCAGUGACUGGGGUGAAGUCGUAACAAGGUAGCCGUAGGGGAAC